rnacentral:rRNA from 1 species
CCUACGGGUGGCAGCAGUGGGGAAUCUUGCACAAUGGGGGAAACCCUGAUGGAGCGACGCCGCGUGGGUGAGGAAGUAUUUCGGUAUGUAAAGCUCUAUCAGCAGGGAAGAAAAUGACGGUAACUGACUAAGAAGCCUCGGCUAACUACGUGCCAGCAGCCGCGGUAAUACGUAGGGGGAAAGCGUUCUCCGGAUUUACUGGGUGUAAAGGGAGCGUAGACGGCUAAUCAAGUCAGAAGUGAAAGCCCAGGGCUCAACCUUGGUAGUGCUUUUGAAACUGAGUAGCUAGAGUGCAGGAGAGGUAAGCGGAAGUCCAAGUGUAGCGGUGAAAUGCGUAGAUAUUAGGAGGAACACCAGUGGCGAAGGCGGCUUACUGGACUGUAACUGACGUUGAGGCUCGAAAGCGUGGGGAGCAAACAGGAUUAGAUACCCUGGUAGUC